rnacentral:lncRNA from 1 species
CUUAAAAAAUCGUGUAAGUCAAACCGUGAGAGUUCAACUUACAUUAACAAAGUCAACUUUUAGAGGUUCAACAUAAUAGUUUUUUGAAAGAAAAAAAAAACUUUAAAAGUAAACUAGUUUUCUAACGCUUCUAUUACUGAAAUAAUCGAAUGUUAAUUGAUUUUGAUAAAUUCUUAAUUUUUCUUUUGCAGGAUUAUCAACUUUGUCCAAUUUGACGAAUCUUGAUCUAAGCUAUAAUAAUAUCCAUUAUUCUGUGGCCAAUCAAGGUAUUUAAGAAAAUUAUAAUUUAAAAAGAGGAAGAAAUGAUAUAUUAGAUAAAUUCAUGAUAUUUACACGUUGAUUCCAUUAUUUCGUUCAAGUUCCUAUAUUCACAUUUUGCAUAAAAUAUAUUUGUCUCCUUCUUAGAGACAUAUUUACUCUAUCCUUUUUAGCAUAAUUAAAGUUUAUUUAUAUUUUUUAGUUAAUUAAAGUUACAUAUCUUUCAGACUCGAAAAGAGUAAGUAGAUUGGAAGUCCUUAAUUUAGAUGAAAAUAUGAUAGAUGGAAAAAAGCUAAGGGAGUCAUUACGAGCUUUAUCAUCAUCCAUUAAGGAGCUUCAAAUGUCUUACAAUAAUUUUACAGGAACACUUUUAGCUAAAGGUAAAUAAUACAUAUGAUUUUCAUAACGUAAAUUAAUUUUGUACUUCUUACAUUAAGGUUCUUAAUUUUUUUUCUUCUAUUGGGCAGAUUUUCACGAUUUAAGUAAGCUAGAACUUUUGAAAUUGGAACGAAAUGAUAACAUGGAGAGUGAAUUUUUCAAAAGUAUUGGGAAUUUGACGUCCUUGAAAGUACUGUCUCUUUCAUAUUGUCAGAUAAAUGACACCCUUCCUGCUGCUACUGGUAAUUAUAUUAUUAUUCAAUGUUAUUCAUAACAUGUAUGUUUUAUAUAAUUUUUCUUAAUUUUGUUAAAAUCAUUAUAUCCUUCUUGUUAUAACACUUGCAAGAUGUUUUCUUUUUUAUUCAAUUUUUCAUUCAGAUUGGUUUAAGCUGAAGAAGUUGGAAGAGUUAAAUCUAAUACAAGAUGGAUUUGAAGGAUUUCUUCCCAAAUCUUUCACUAACAUGACAUCUCUUCGGAAGUUGGAUCUUUCUCAAAAUCACUUCAUGGGAAAGUUUGAUUCUAACAUUGCAACCCUUACAUCACUGGAACAUUUUGAUUUUACAGAAAACCAAUUUGAAGUGCCUGUUUCAUUUACACCAUUUGCCAAUCAUUCACACCUUAAGUUUGUCUACGGUAAAGGCAACAAAGUCAAAUUGGACUCACAACACAGUUUGCAAACUUGGAUUCCAAAAUUUCAGUUAGAGAUGCUUAGCUUGUCUUCAACCAUUGGGACUAGUUCUUUCCAGUUUCCCAAAUUUCUUCUUUAUCAAAAAUAUUUAACUAGUCUAGAUUUUAGUAGUUUGAAGUUGGAAGGAGGGUUUCCUCAUUGGUUGUUAGAAAACAACACAAGGUUGAUUGAAGUUGUUUUAGAAAUUGUUCUUUGAAUGGUACUAUGCAAAUACCAUUGCAUCCCUCUCUUGAGUUACUGAGAAUUGAUGUGUCCAGCAAUACCAUAAUUGGUGAAAUCCCAAGCAAGAAUAUCAGUUUUAUUUACCCAAAUUUGAGAUAUUUAAACAUGUCUAAAAACCACAUCCAAGGUUCAAUUUCUCGUGAGUUUGGCCGAAUGAAGUUGUAUUCGUUGGAUCUUUCAGACAACCAAUUGUCAGGAAAUAUAUCAGAGGACAUAUUUGAAGCUUGGCACCAACUUCAUUUCUUGGAACUUUCAAAUAAUAAGUUGGAGGGACCCAUUUUUACAAUACCCACUAAUUUGGAGUUUUUAUCAUUGAAUGAUAAUAACUUUAGUGGUAGACUUCCUAGGAACAUUUUUAACACAUCCAUUGUCUCAUUGGAUGUAAGCAAUAAUCAUUUGGUAGGAAAGAUUCCAAGCCUUCUGAAUAAUUUAUCAACAUUAUGGGAACUUCGUAUGUUCAAUAACCACUUUGAAGGAUCCAUUCCGUUAGAAUUAACACAACUUGAAGAUCUAAUAUAUUUAGAUCUCUCCCAAAAUAAUUUUUCUGGUCUUGUACCAUCAUUUAUAAAUUCUUCUGUGAAAUUUAUCCAUUUGAGGAAUAAUCAUUUAACAGGAUUGCCCAAAAAAAUGUUCACUGAAAACUCUCCUCUAGUGAUGUUGGACCUUAGUUACAACGAAAUAUCUGGUGGCAUUCAGGAUAUGAUUAAAGACCUCAGUUAUUCAAAGUUGAAUUUUCUCCUUUUAAAAUGUAAUCACAUUACUGGGGAUAUACCUAAGCAAUUAUGUCAAUUGAUAAAUUUAACCAUUCUAGAUCUUUCAGACAAUAAACUUUUGGGAGAAAUUCCUCAUUGCUUGGAGACAAUGCCUUUUGAUAAUAACAACCUUAUUCCAUUAUUAAAAGCAUCCAAGGGAGUUUUGUUGAAGAAUAUUCUCAUAACCUAAUAAAGAGAAAGCAAGUUUCACAAGAGCAUAAGAAAGAGAAAGCAAGUUUCACUUCAAAGAAAAGAAUUGAUACUUACACGGGAAGCAUCCUUGUUUUUAUGUCUGGAAUUGACUUAUCCAAUAAUAAAUUGAAGGGGAAUAUUCCUUACGAGCUUGGAAACUUGACAAGAAUCCAAACAUUGAACUUGUCUCAUAAUGAUUUGAUUGGACAAAUUCCAGAUUCAUUCUCGAAGUUGGUGCAAAUAGAGAGUUUAGAUCUUUCUUUUAAUAAGUUGAGUGGUGAAAUUCCAUCUAAACUCAAUAUUCUAACCACACUUGAAGUAUUAAGUGUGGCACACAACAACUUAUCAGGCCCAAUACCUGAAUGGACAAAUCAAUUUGCCACAUUUGAUGAGAGUAGCUAUGAGGGUAACCCAUUUCUUUGUGGACCUCCAUUACCAAAGAGUUGUCAUCCAACUCCUAGAGUUAUUUCAAAUGACUUGGAUUCUGACAAAGACAAUGAUAGGUUGGUAGAUAUGUAUAUCUUUUAUGUGAGCUUUGUUGUAUCAUACACGUUAGCAUUGUUAACAACUGCAGCAGCUCUAUGCAUCAAUCCUUCCUGGACACAAGCAUAGUUUAACUACAUGAAAUUUGUCAAUUUUAAAUUGUUACUACUUUAUCGUGGACAAUUUUUUAAAUUUUGUAAUACUAAAAAUAUGUAACAUGUAUAUUUAUUUCGUUGUUUUCUUUUAAAAGUGACUUAAUAAAAAAAAAGUCAUGCAUGUGUGGCUUAAUAUAAUAAUAUGAAAUCUAAAUUUUGUAUUCAUUAAUGUUAAGGAUUUUUUUAGUCUUUUAAGUUCUUCAUUAUACUGUGAGAGAAUCUAGAUAAGAUAUUUUUUUAUAUCACAUCAAUUAAUAUUAAGACUUCAUAUGUUUUUAGUAUUUAUAAAACAGGUUAACUUGGUUGAGGUGAAAAAAUUUGUAGUCUAUAUAAAAUCAUGAUAUUUUAUUUUAGUCUUUAAAAUCUUGUUUUUAGUAUCUAUGUCUUAGAAUCUGAACGAGACAAAGUUAUGAUUUAAUAAAAAUUAAAAGUGAUUUAAUUUUUUAUUUAAUAGUAAGAACUUGCUAACAGAAAAUUAUGGAAACUAAAAGUUUUAGUGAAAUGUAGUAGAAAUUAAAAAAUUACUCUAUUUAAAAGAACACUUGAAUCCCUUAAUAAUAAUUUAAAAUCAUGAUUCACUUAAAAUUUUAUACGAUUUAUUUUCCACACGCAUUAUUUUUUACCCACCACCCAUUUGUAUGUAGUAUCUAUCUGUUACUCGAAAACACAUUAUUAAUGUUACAGUAAAAAAAUUAUUAAAUAUAAUUAAUUCAAUAUAUUACAAAAAAAUUUAUUAAAUAUAAAUCAAUUUUAGAGAAAAAUAAUAAUAAUAAUUAAUUAAUUAAAUUAGAUACUAUUUUAGAUAUUAAAAAAAUUAUUAGUAUCUAAAUUAAUUUCUCUUUUUAAUAAAUAAUUUCUAAAUUAAUAUUUAAUUAAUUAUCAAAGUUUUAGUUAUUAACUUAAGAAUCUAAAUAAUUGGUAACAAAAAUAUUUAUAACUAAUUAGAUACCUAUUUAACUACUAUUUAUAAAUAACAACAACUAAUUUAAAUACCAAAAAUUUUUAGUCUCGACAAUAGUAUCUAAUUUAGUUAAUAUAACUAAUUAUUUUUUUGUCUCUAAACGUUGUUUGUAUUUAAUGAUUAGUGUUACUUUAUGAUUUCACAGAAGUAUAUUACUACACUAUGAACAUAAACUAUAUAUUUUUUUCAUAACUAGGGAUGUUAAGGAAUUUAGCUGUUGUUAUACAAGCCAAGGACUCAAAGUUACAUUCAGUUACGAUUCCUAUUGAUAAUCAUCAUGUGGAGAUCUCUGCUCUUGUGGCUUUACCAUCUCCAUUGCGUCCUACCUCACCUCGGAAGGCUAAAUCACCUGCAGAUUCUAAAGCACCAAUUAAUACUCCAAUUGAUAGUCAUCAUGUGGAGGUCUCUACUAUUGUGACUGCACUAUCUUUGUCGCCUCAUACCACCCCUCGGAAGGCUAAAUCUCUUGGGGAUGUUAAAGCACUAUCGUUGGUCCUGCAAAAUCAUUUUUUCUCUCUGAGUGGUUUGGAAACUACAUAUGUUAUUUCAAAAUUUUGGGUUGAUCCUAAUGAGAUGGAGGAGGAUGCCAGUGAUACUGGGGAGAAAAUAGUUUGCACUAAGAGAAAAAACAGGGAGACCACCUAGGGGACUGGUAAAUAAAUAAAAAACUGCUUGGGCAAUUCUCUCUACAACGUUGCAAUGUGGAGAUGUUGAUUAGUUUACUUAAACUACAUAAAACCUCCUAGUUUUUCUUGUUGAACCUAUGAUGUUGUAUACUGAUUCUUUCGACGUCCUUUUCAAAUAUGUUAAUAUGCAUUUGGUGACUACGUCUCCUAUUGUUAAUAAAGCGUCUAAACUGUGGUGUUUGUUGGUUCCUAAUCUUAUCCAAAAUUUCUUAGUCAAUGAUCAGUUUAUUUUUGUAACUUGUCUUCUACAUGAUAAAUGUUUUAGCUUUGUAGGUGUUCAUGCUGCUACCACAUACUUGGUAGAUGAUUUUUGUGGAUGGAUCUUAGUUUCUUCAUAGGGUCGUGGUGUAUUCUGGGAGAUUUUAAAGGGGGCGACUCUUAAUCAGGUUUCCUGUAGUGAAUUCCUUAAUGAUCUUUCUUGUAUGCCUUUUACUGGAUCUUUUUAUACUUGGUGUAAUGGAAGGAGAGGGUUGCAUAGAACUCAUAGAAGAUUGGAUAGGGCUUUAUGUAAUGGAAUGUGUCUGGAUGAAUGAGACUCUUGUACUUAUCAAGUUCUUGUUAAAAACUGUUAUGAUCAUCCCCCUAUUCUUGCUAGUCUUGUAGUAAUUCUUUGAGGAAGGUUAGCAAUUUUCGUUUCUUUUCUAUAUGACUUCAGAACACUUCAUGUCUGAAGCUUAUUCAUGAUUCUUUGGCUAAUAAGGUUGUUCGUUGUCCUAUGCUUAUUUUGCAACAUAAGUUAAAAAUGUUGAAAAUUGACCUCCAAGACUGGAAUAAAAAUUCUUUUGGUAAUGUUCAUAAUGAAGUUCUUCUUAAGCAGGGUCUUCUCCUUGGUAUUCAACAAAACUUAGAGACUGUCAGUUUGUCUAAUAUUGUUGGGCUUCUCUGUCAAGAAAAGAUUGUUAAGGAGGAGUUUGAUCAUGUUCUUCACUGUCAAUAUUUGUUUUGGAAAGAAAUGGCUAAGUUGUUAUGGUUCAAAGAUGGAGAUCGAAAUACUGCUUUUUUCCAUGUUGUGGUCAAAAGGAGAAAUAAUUCUAGUGGGAUUCAUCUUCUACGGAUUGAUAAUAAGGUUACUCAGGAUCCUAAACUCAUUGAGGAUUAUAUUUUGGACUUUUAUAAAAAUCUUUAUGCUGAGUCUAUUUCUAAUGUUCUGGAUACAAGUAAUAUGCUUGGAACUUUGUUUAUAGCAACAAGCCUUGAUCUUUGCUCUUGAAAGUCAGAGUUCUUAAAUCCAAAUACGAUUUUAGAAUGGUUUAUAGAUCCUCAUUUCUUUGGCCUAGAAUUAAGCAAUUUUAUUCUACUAUACUUGAUUAUACUUCUUGGAUGGUUGGUACAGGUUCUUUUAUUAAUUUCUGGAAUGAUAAAUGGUGUUCAACAACUUCUUUAACAAAUAUUGCAGCGUUAUCUGAUGGUGCUAGCAUUCCGGAUCUAGUCUCUCAGUUUUGGACAAGUUGUGAUUGGAAUAUUCCCUUAUCUGUACAGCAGAUGCCUCAUUUUUUUUUAAUCAUAUCAUGGUUAGGGAGGAACAAGAUAUUUCUAAUUGGAUUCUAUAUGAUUCUAUUCGUUUAACUCUUAAACUGGUUAGGACUUUUAUCUUGGAACCAGGAGUUCUCUGUGGUUGGGGUAAAUUCAUUUGGUCUUCAUCUAUUCCGGCUUCCAAAACUAUGGUACUCUGGAAAGUUUUUCAUGGGCAGCUUCCGACAGAUCAAUAUAUUCAUAAUAAAGGUUUGCAUAUAUGUUCUAUGUGUACGCUUUGUGAAAAGCAUGAGGAAUCUAUCCAACAUUUAUUUUUUAAUGUUCUAAUGUCUUACAUAUUUGGAGUUGGGUUUGGCAGAUUUUUCUUACUUCUCAUUUCUCUAAUAAAGUUGAUUUUCUUUCCUUUAUUAAGAGCGAAGGUAGUCCUUUGGUUAAAUUGAUUAAGCUUGUUGUCAAAACUUUUUCUAUUUGGAUGACGUAUGAGGAAUUAUGCUAGACUUCAGGAUAAGAUUGAGCUAUUUCGAUUAUUAAAGAUUUAACUUGUCUAGUGGGAAAUUCGUCUAAAGCUUCAAUGAAGAAUGAUAUGUUGGAUUUCAAAGUGAUUAUGUUUUUUGGUAUUAAUACUCAUAGUGGUAAAGUUCUUCGUCAUCUUCCUGUUAGAUGGGAUUUUCCUUCACCAGGUUGGGUUAAAAUUAACACUGAUGGUGCUGCUAGGAGUAUCCUGGUCUUGCUACUUGUGGAGGUAUUUUCCAUAGGAGUAUAGGGGAGUUUAUUUGUGCUUUCUCUGCAUUUUUUGAAGUUCAAACUUCUAUGGCUGCUGAGUUUUAUGAAGUUAUACAUGCUAUGGAGGAAGCUCAAAAGAUGGGGCUUACUAAUGUGUCUGGCUUGAAUGUGAUUAUGUGUUGGUUUAUGUUGCGUUUACUGCUAGGACUAAUGUUUCGCGAAUGCUUCGUAAUCAAUGAAAUACUUGUCUUAAUUAUUGUGUGAAAAUCAGGUUCGUGGUUACUCAUAUUUUUCAUGAAGAAAAUGCGUGUGCUGAUAAAUGAGCUAAUUUAGGAUUUAUUCAUAGAGAAUCAUUUCAUUGAUAUAAUAGACUUCCAUCUAGUAUGUUAUUAGAAUUAUUUAUGAAUAGGUAUAAUCUACCUAUGUAUUGUUUUUGUUAACAUAUAGAUUUUAGUCUAGUCCCCUCAUAUUUUUGUAUUUUUUUUAAUAAUACUUUUUUUACUGUGAUAGCAAAUGAUUGUUAUUACUUGAGGUGUCAAUCUAGUUGAGAUUUCAAGUUGUAUAGUGAUGCCUAAUAUGAAAGUUUUUAUAAAAAAAAACAUAAACUAUAUAUUGUUUUAUAAUUUUUUAUUAAUCAUUUUAUAUCCAAUAAAUAUUGAAUAUGUUUAUAAAAAAUUAAACCCAUUCUGUUAUGUUCCAAUACAAUAUAUAAAAAUUAAUACAAUUUAUAAACUAAGAAAUAAUCAUUGAUAUAGCAUAUAAUACCAUUUUUCUAACUAAUUGAGCAAGAUCAUUCUUCUUCUUAUGAAAUAGUAAUUGUAAUGGCACCUAAAGAAAAAAGAAAAAAGAGAAUAAAGAAUAGAGUGUAACUGGUGCCGAACACGAGCUAAAUAUGACUCUACUUAGCUAACAGACCCCAUGUAAGGUAAACAAAAUACAUGAGAAGAGCUAUAAAAAUUACUGUUUUAAUUUGCUCUCUAUGGUUAGAGUAUCUCAUUACAUAAGAGACAUAAUACUAACUCAUUAAAACACACAUCACAUAAUAUAUUAUGGUAACUUAAUAUUUAAUAUGACACCUAUAAAAAGGAUUUUACUGUAAAAUUAGUAACAAAUGUGACUCACAACACAGUUUGCAAACUUGGAUUCCUAAAUUUCUGUUAGUGGAGCUUAGCUUAUCUUCAACCAUUGAAACUAGUUCUUUUCAGCUUCCCAAAUUUCUUCUUUAUCAAAAAUAUUUAACUAGUAUAGAUUUUAGUAGUUUGAAGUUGGAAGGAGGGUUUCCUAAUUGGUUGUUAGAAAACAACACAAGGUUAACUGAAGUUGUUUUUAGAAAUUGUUCUUUGAAUGGUACUAUGCAAAUACCAUUGCGCCCCCUUCUUGAGUUACGAAGUAUUGAUGUGUCUAGCAAUACCAUAAUUGGUGAAAUCCCAAGCAAGAAUAUCAGUUUUAUUUAUCCAAAUUUGAGAUAUUUAAACAUGUAUAGAAACCACAUCCAAGGUUCAAUUUCUCGUGAGUUUGGCCGAAUGAAGUUGUAUUUGUUGGAUCUUUCAGACAACCAAUUGUUAGGAAAAAUAUCAGAGGACACAUUCGAAGCUUGGCACCAACUUCAUUUCUUGGAACUCUCAAAUAAUAAGUUGGAGGGACCCAUUUUUACAAUACCCACUAGUUUGGAGUUUUUAUCAUUGAAUGAUAAUAACUUUAGUGGUAGACUUCCUACGAACAUUUUUAACACAUCCAUUGUCUCAUUGGAUGUAAGCAAUAAUCAUUUGGUAGGAAAGAUUCCAAGACUUCAGAAUAAUUUAUCAACACUAUGGGAAAUUCGUAUGUCCAAUAACCACUUUGAAGGAUUCAUUCCGUUAGAAUUAACACAACUUGAAGAUCUAAAAUAUUUAAAUCUCUCCCAAAAUAAUUUGUCUGGUCUUGUACCAUCAUUUAUAAAUUCUUCUGUGAAAUUUAUCCAUUUGAGCAAUAAUCAUUUAGUAGGAUUGCCCAAAAAAAUGUUCACUGAAAACUCUUCUCUAGUGAUGUUGGACCUUAGUUACAACGAAAUAUCUGGUGGCAUUCAAGAUAUGAUUAAAGACCUCAGUUAUUCAAAGUUGAAUUUUCUCCUUUUAAAAGGUAAUCACAUUUAUGGGGAUAUACUUAAGCAAUUAUGUCAAUUGAUAAAUUUAACCAUGCUAGAUCUUUCAGACAAUAAACUUUUGGGAGAAAUUCCACAUUGCUUGGGAACAAUGCCUUUUGAUAUUAACAACCUUGAUCCAUUAUUAAAAGCAUCCAAGGGAAGUUUUGUUGAAGAAUAUA